UUUUCCAAACAAAAAUAACAUCUUGGUCUUGGAAUGUGUAAGGAGUUUAACGAAUAAAAAAAUAUUCUAGGCCAUAGAAAAGUGAGUUAGAAUGCCCUGGAUCACAUUUGAAGGCUAUGUAAGAUUGCUACAGAGAGAAUUUAAACUAACAUGCUUAGAAGCGCCAAUAUCGAGCCCCUAAAAAAUUGCUACCUUUGUUUCAUGCUUCUUAUGCAUUGAGGAUACAAAAGAAAACAUGAUUUUGCUACAAAAAUUACACCGCUUUAUUAUUAUUAUUAUUAUUAUUAUUAUUAUUAUUAUUAUUAUUAUUAUUAUUAUUAUUAUUAUUAUUAUUAUUCAUAAAUUAACCACAGAUUAGUAACUAAGUUCUUUAAAUCCUUGCCAUCAAGUUCUCAAAUCAAAUUGUAUAUUUUUGCAACAGUUAAUAGCCUUCUUUAAAAAUAUAUUGCCGAAACUAGGGGUGAAAAAAUCCACUCAUCUAUUGUUCUUGAGAUCUGAUAUUCUCUAGAGCUUUGCUAUGAGUGGUUGAACUAGUGUGCACAACGGACAAUGACAAAUGGACUAGUUUGGGUACUUGCAUGGUUACUCAAACGCUCAAGCAAGGGCUUGAUUUGAUCU
rnacentral:lncRNA from 1 species